GUCUACGACCAUGCCACCCUGAACAAGCCCUAUCCCAUCUGAUCUCGGAAGCUACGUAGGGUUGGGCCUGGUUAGUACUUGGAUGGGAGACCACCUAGGAAGACCAGGUGCUGUAGGUG
rnacentral:rRNA from 1 species